rnacentral:miRNA from 1 species
GGUCUGACAUUGUUAUUCAAAAUAUGGUCCAUUUAUAUAUAUAUACAUGUAAAUGGACCAUAUUUUGAAUAACAAUGUCAGACCAUGACACCU